GAUGAACGCUAGCUACAGGCUUAACACAUGCAAGUCGCGGGGCAGCAUGGGGGUUGCUUGCAAUCCCCGAUGGCGACCGGCGCACGGGUGAGUAACGCGUAUCCAACCUGCCCUUCACCACGGGAUAACCCGGCGAAAGUCGGACUAAUACCGUAUGUUGUCCAUUGACGGCAUCCGAUUUGGACGAAAGGUUUGGCGGUGAAGGAUGGGGAUGCGUCCGAUUAGCUGGACGGCGGGGUGACGGCCCACCGUGGCGACGAUCGGUAGGGGUUCUGAGAGGAAGGUCCCCCACACUGGAACUGCGACCCGGUCCAGACUCCUACGGGAGGCAGCAGUGAGGAAUAUUGGUCACUGGGCGUAAGCCUGAACCAGCCAAGUAGCGUGCAGGAGGCCGGCCCUAUGGGUUGUAAACUGCUUUUAUGCGGGGAUAAAGUGGCCCACGUGUGGGUUUUUGCAGGUACCGCAUGAAUAAGGACCGGCUAAUUCCGUG
rnacentral:rRNA from 1 species